GUGCUUCCUGGCACUGGGCUACAAUUCCUGAUGGCUGAUUCUGGGUGAAGAUGCUGUCUCUGGAAGGCCCCUGAUCAAGCUCUCCCGAGUCUCCCUCCUGAUAAACAUACAUCAAAAGGUGCAGCCCAGCAUUGGCUUUCUCUACAUGGCCCCCAGGUCCACCCUGCCCCGCCCAGCUGUUCCCCACCACCUGUGGCUUUCAGGAUGCUUCAGGAAAUGGAAGACACAGCAUGUGUGUGGGAGGAGUGGUUGAAGCCUCGCUGUGAUUCACCCGGACCUCCAAGGAAGUCACAGCUGCCCUCUGGGAUGGCCACAUUCCAUGGGGAGGGGCUUCAGGACACGCUACCUCAAAUACGGCACCUUGGUAUAUUGAAUACUUUAUACCUGGAAGUCAGAUUCCAGGCUCCUCUGUGGACGGCUUUGUCUUCGUUCCCUGGCACUUCCAACCCACCCUCUCUACCCAGGAACUAAGGCUGAGUGGUCUCCAGUGCCCUGAGAAAGCCCUGUGGAAGCACCAAGGAUGCUGGCACUGCCAGGAAGAGCGAGGGGACACUGACAAGAUGCAGGCAGGAAGCCCAGAAGAAGGACAGCCCCCAUCCUGAGAAUAAGCUGCCGCCCGCCUGCUUCCCCACAUCUGCGCUGCCUCCAGCUAAUGAAAGUGUUACUCCACGAAGCAGCAAGGUAAAGAAACUGAGGCUUGGAGAGGCAAAAUGAUUCGGCUGAGGCCCCACACUAGGUUCCUGACAAGCGUCUGGCUUCUGGACCAGAGUUCACAUCCCAUCCCAUCAGGCUGGAAGAGACUGCGGGUGAACUGAAUGCCUCUCAACGUCCCUUUCCACCCCUGGUGGCCAGGCUCAUUAGGAGAAAGGAUGUCAGAAUCUCAGUGGAGGUGUGAGGAUUUUUCUCCCAAAGUCAUAAAGCGGAAGGCAUCCUGCCUGUUUAACUGGCAGCCCGUCUUCUGGCCUCACCUCCCUUCAGGUACUGCUUUUUUAUCUCCUCCUAAAAUGCGGCAGCCCUUAUCGUCCCAAUCUCAAAUUUCACUCCAUUUUUUUUAUUACACAAAAGAGAAAAAAAUCUGUCAGUAAAACUGUCUCCUCAAAUUUAUUCGCCG
rnacentral:lncRNA from 1 species